rnacentral:rRNA from 1 species
AGUGAACGCUGGCGGUAGGCCUAACACAUGCAAGUCGAACGGCAGCACAGUAGGAGCUUGCUCUUACGGGUGGCGAGUGGCGGACGGGUGAGGAAUACAUCGGAAUCUACUUUUUCGUGGGGGAUAACGUAGGGAAACUUACGCUAAUACCGCAUACGACCUACGGGUGAAAGCAGGGGAUCUUCGGACCUUGCGCGAUUGAAUGAGCCGAUGUCGGAUUAGCUAGUUGGCGGGGUAAAGGCCCACCAAGGCGACGAUCCGUAGCUGGUCUGAGAGGAUGGUCGGCCACACUGGAACUGGGACACGGUCCAGGCUCCUUAGGGAGGCCGCAGUGGGGAAUAUUGGGCAAUGGGCGGAAGCCUUGUCCAGCCCUACCGCGUGGGUUGAGGAGGCCUUCCGGUUGUAAAGCCCUUUUGUUGGGAAAGAAAAGCAGCAGGUUAAUACCCCGCUGUUCUGACGGUACCCAAAGAAUAAGCACCGGCUAACUUCGUG